ACAUUUAAAACAAAAUCUGAUGAGUUUCAUUAUGCAUCUUCCUCAUCUGCCAGUGGAUAGAUCCAUGAUCACAUUAAGGGCCUCCAUGUGAUCAGGAGUAGUUAGAAAUGUGAUACCCCAACUUAAGCCAGGCAGCUAACAUCCCAUGGGGUCCACAGAGAAUGCUUGAUAGCACCAGAGAAGGUGAACAGUGUGAAGACAGCCACGUGUCCUGCCUGUGUGUAGGCCAGAACAUCUAAGGUCCUAGAAGGUCUGGAAAACAGCCUCAUAGCUUGCAAGUCAUCUAAACCAGCAGAUGUGGGCCUUCUUGGACUGGUGGUACCUCCCUUGAAGCCGUUGGAGGAGCAUUUCAGGUAGGCAGAAUUGCCCCUUGACUGAUGUUUAUCCCCAGCUGCAGUAGAGGAAGUGCCAGCUCAGGUGCUCACAAUGACCUUGGUGAAACCCUGCCAGGCACGAAUUGAGCUGUGACUAUGAAGCAGGGAACGUAAGGGAACGAUAGGAGGUGGGUAGGUAAAGCACCUCUCAGAGAAGGCACGUGAUGCUAAGAGCGUCCAGCAGGGUGUGGCUCAGUGGUGAAGCACCUGCUCAACAGGGGCAAGGCCAUAGAUUCAGGCCCCAGCGAUACAGGAAUUGUUAGUUGUGCCUGGGCCAAUCAAGUCAGGCUGGGCAACUCAUCCUCAGUAGGCCAAUUAUGAUAUAAUGAAAAGCAACAAAAGGAAAUCUCUGCCAUGUGGCCACACUGGGAAAGGGAGCCAGGGAGUCCUGUAAGUACUCAGGAUCCUGACAUGAGCUUUAAGUAGAGGGCAAGAGAUAGACACCACUGAGUAGUCCUGAUCAAAGUGUGGUGCCAGCCAUCAUUGUCUGUCUCUGCCCCAAUCUGUCCUGCAAGGUGGUCCGAGAGCUGUUGAAACUGUGGGAAUCUGAGAGACGAGCUCCUCUUCAUGCUGGCGCCAGACUUCAGCCCUUUCCUUCCCACAGCAUGAGAGGCUCCUGGAGAAAUUCCAAAAGUCUUGGGGUCCAUUGUCUCAAGAUUCUGAUAGUCAAAGGGGAGGGGCACUUUGUGUCUUUUUAGUUAGAAUAUUACCACAAUAAGCCACAAGAUGAAGCAGUUGCCCUUUCCCUGACCAUAGAAAGGACUCCCAUGUGCAGAAUAUUGUCUUUCAUCUAUAGUGGCCAUUGAGAAUACCACGCCUUAGAAGCCAGAGAUUGACUGAGUCUUCAAGAGCCUCAGGCCAGCUCUCCCAAGCAACCCAAAUCUAUGAUUCAACUUCCCAGGAGUCCACAAUCUAAGACAAUGUGUCUUACUGGAAACAUGCCACUGUUCCUUUGAUACAAAUGUCCGGACAUCCCUAGGACACAGGCCUCAGGAGGCUGAAUUAAUAAUGUCAAUAAAAUAUAGAGAAAGAAGAAGAAGAAGAAGAAGAAGAAGAAGAAGAAGAAGAAGAAGAAGAAGAAGAAGAAGAAGAAGAAGAAGAAGCCACCAGAGGGAGUUUAACAUCUUGAAGAUGCUGAACUCUUCUUGGCCAGUUCUGUGUCAACCAGAGCUCUAGCUUCCCCCAGCUUGGGAGAAACUGGGUCAGUUUAAUGACACUGAUGUCAUACAACUGGCUUCCUUAAUGGGAGCCUUGAUGGAGGGUGGAGUAGAGCAAGGUGGGGCAGGGUGUGGAGCUGAGGUCACCCUGCAGAUCUGCUGGCCAUUGCAGGGUUCUGGAGAAAGGUGAGCCUGUAGCCAGUGGUUGUCCCAAGGCCUUUGAAGUUUUAUUUGCUGCAUUUUUAUGUCACAUUGGGCAGUAAACCAUACCUGGAGGCGGCUGUCCUUUGCUCUUCAGACAAGGGCGGUGGCAUUCACAUGAAUGUGGUCACAGCAGGGACCUCAGCUGCCAUAACACAUGUCUCUCUGGAGCCAAGUCCCUCUCACCAAGGUGACUGGACCUGGCUUUGGCAUGUCUGUUCUUACUACGGUGAGGGUGAAGAAGUGGUCAACAGCAGCACCUGCUCCACACAGCAUCUGGAUAGAGGUGGCUGUGACUAUCACAGGAGCUGUUGGAUUUUGUGCUCUCAAGCAGUCAUUUCUCAACACCUAUUCAUGGAAUGGAGUUACUGGAAUACCCUGUGACACUGAACGCUGGCUGGGCCAAUGGCAGGUCAGGGCUGCUCUGGGAACUAAGAGAAGGCCCAGUACCCAUCAUGCAAGCAAGCCAAGGUCUCCCAUCACUUUCCUGGUGAUGCUGGACAGCACAGACUCCUGCAGCAGCCCUUCCUGGAGAAGGUUGGGGUGUGUGAACAGUGGGAAGAGGACCAUAUAGACAUUCAUCUGAAUUACAGCUGCCCACCUCCUUGGCACCAGCCAUGGGCACUGCAUUCCUUAAAGCUCUCAUUAAUUGUCUCUGAGAGAGUUCAUAUUUACCCAAACUCCACCUCACACCACUCCGGAUUUCACUUAUGUCCCUUCGUUUUAAACUCCAUGAGAGCUUUGGUUCCAGGAUAAUGUGGGAAGGAGCUUCCUUCAGAAAGAAAUUCAAUUUAGCUUGGGACGCUUUGACCAGGAAAACCUUAAAAGUCAUCUGGAAAAGAACUGAUCACGUUGCCUAAGAGCUGGAAGGCUCCUGGAGACAUCUCACACCUACCGCAUAGCCUUGUAUGUGUGCAUGUGUGUCCGCGCGCGCGUGAGUGCUCUUGCGUGUGCUUGCGUUUUCAAGGAAUGUCCUGAUCGACAGCAGCCUGUGGACCUCACCAACUGGUGAGGUGGCAUCUGAGAAUGCCAAUCCUGUCAUAUCCAGAGCCUCAAAACAUCACUUUAAAAGAGGCGACAAUUCGUUCCCAAUCCACAGGACAGUUCAUUUGGCAGGAAGGGAGAGUAAAACUUGCAGCUCAGCAAAAGCCCCAACAGUUGGACAUGAGCGAGGUUCUUAGAGAGUAUCCAAGACUUAGGCAAACUUCAACAUACCUCCUGCGGAAACAUGAUAAAUAAAGCGAAAGCUGACUGAGGACAAGAGACUAGAUUCCCCACCCCUGCCCUGCAAGCUUUGGUGGUAAUGAGGAUGCGACCCCAUGCAAGUGAGCCACCAGCUGAGAUGACCUCUCCCCAAACCAAGGAAAAUGGACAUUUAGACAAACGGCGUAUCUAGAACCCAAACAGACAUGAAAGGAAGAACUGCUCCGUGAUAUGGUGUAUAGGUGCUUUGCCUGAAUGUACAUCUGUGUACCUCUGUGUACCAGGUAUGUGCAGGGGCUGUGAAGGCAAGAAGAAGACAUUGGAACCCCUGGACUGGAACUAUAGACCAUCGUGAGCCACUGUGAGAAUUGAGCUAUCUUCUGGAAGAGCAAUCAGCACACUCAACUGCUGAGCCAUCUCUUCAGCCCUGACAGAAUUCUUAAACCCGAUAAACACUUUUAACGAAGUACCAAGGUAUAAACUCAACACACGAAAAUCAGUGGCUUCCUUAUCUGCCAGUCACAAACUAAGAAAGAAAUCUGAGGUGAAAAAUCACAUAACUAUGUACCUCAUAGCCCUAGGAGCAAUCCAAACCCAGGACCUUCAAAAGAAAAAAAUAUCUAGAAAAAUCUAACUGAGGAGGUGAAAGACCUCUACAGUAAAGCCUUUAAGACACUGAAGAAAGACAUUGAAUAAAACACUAGGAUAAAAAGACUUCCUAUGUUCGUGGGUUAAAAGAAUUGAUAUCGUGAAAACUGCUACACUGUUGAAAGAAAUCUACAGGUCAAAUGCAAGCUGGACCCCAUCUUUCACAAAAUUUGAAAACGAAAACAAUAUCUGAUCUCAAAUUUCACUGUAGGGUCACAGUAACAAAAAGCAGCACACUACUGCCCCCCAAACAGGCACGCUGAUCAACGGGAUAAAAGAGAGGAGCAGAAGUGAGCCCACACAGUUGCAGCUCCCUUUAUUCAGAAAGCUAUCACAAGCAGACAGGGAGAGAGCACAGCCUGCUGUGGUCUGGGUGAAUAUGAGCUUCUCGGGCCUUUGGAAAUGGUUUAUGGAGGGAAUGUGGAAGAGUUUAGAAUGUUGGGAAAGAACGAUCUCUAAUUCUGUAAGCAGAACUUAAUGGUCUGUUCCAGCAGCUGCUUGGGGAAAGGCUCUCAGCAACUUCAGGCAUCGGGAAGAUGCAAAUUAACGCUGCACCAAAAUCCCAUCUCACCCAGUGACCAGGUCUCUUCAAGAAAGUGAAGGACAGCCUGGGAGGUGGUGGAGCAUGACUUUAACACCAGCACUCAGGAAGCAGAGGCAAGGAGAUCUCUGAGUUUAAGGCCAGCCUGGUCUACAGAGCAAGUUCCAGGACAGCCAAGGUUAUUAUAGAUGUCCAUGUUUCCUGCUGCAUUAUUCACAGUAGCUAGAAAUUAAAGCAGCCUAAGUGUCCACCAACAGAUGAAUAGACAAAGAAAAUGUACCCAAAAACCAAACAAAAAAAAACAACC
rnacentral:lncRNA from 1 species